CAUUAUUCGUGAAUUCGUAACAAAUUAUUUUUUGUUUUAAACAUAUCAGCCUUCAGGUCUCAAUUUGUUGUGUGUGGUGUACUUUACAUGAACUAAUAUGCUACCUACACUACGAGUUUACGAAUGCCAAAUCGUCUACAAACUACGAUACACGUCAUACAGUGUACACUAAAAAUUAGACGGUUCACUUGUAUGUUGGUUCAAAACUACCAACAGUUGUAGUAGUCUGUGCGUUAAGAUCUACAUAAUCACUGUUUUCUGUUAAAAAAUCAUUAUUAAUGUUGUUAACCGUCAGUAUUGUUUUACUUUGUAUCAGACCGAUGAACAUCACAGGAAAGGUUAUAUAAAGCAGCAGUAUUAAAUAACUACAUGCUUUUUGAUGUCAGUUGUAGUGUUCAGUCAAUAAAAUGUUUUUAUUACAAAUCCAUAAUGAAGUUUAUAACAAACUUCUUUUUCAUUUCUGAGACACACCGAGUCAUACAUUCUUGAAACCAGCAAACAGAACAGUCAAUUGUAUUCAAACGAAUUAUUCCAGAGUAUUCAAUGAGCAUAUCCAUCCACAGUAUAUGCCAAAAACAUUUCCCAACACUUUUGUUUCAUCUAUUUGAAAAUGUCAGAAAUAAACAUGAAAAACUAUCAGCAACAAAAAAAGAGAUCAUGCAAAAAAUCAACUGAAUUUUUUAAAUAGUUCAAAAUGUUUAAAGACCAAACAUACUUGUAGGCUCGUGUUGUCUUGCUUAACAAACAAUUAUAGACUGUACUAAGAUACAAAGGAAAAUUCUAUGUACCACACAUUACUAAGCCAUAUAUAUUGUUGAAACAUUUAACUACUUACUUUCACAAAAAAUACUCUUCAGAGAUAUGAAAAUUGGAUAUUACUAGUUAUGUGGAAUUGAUUGGUCUAGGUUUUACAAAAAGCUAUAUGUUGAACAGAAGAAAAACCUAGAUAUUUUAUAGAACACCAGAAUAUAUUGCCCACUGUUAUUCAUACCAGAUUUCAUAAUUCCUUAGAGAUAAUUAAACUGAACGGCUAACAGAAGUUCAAAAACACAAGUACUGAAACACAUCUACACAAGAUCGGAAAUAAAUCUUUACAAAACAAAAUUAUUGGAUGUAACUGCUGUUUUGAAAUCAGUAGGCCACGCAGAAAAAUCAUUAUCACUUUGAGAGACAGCUACUAUAGUUAAUAGUAUUUCAGGAGCACAAGGAAAAAAAUACAAAACAAAUAGGUGUGCUUAUAAAUCAAUAUCCAGAAUUCUUAAUUUAAAUGUUAUGAAAAUUUGUUAUGUAAAAAUAAAAAUCAAUUAUUAUAUAUUAA